CUACGGGUGGCUGCAGUGGGGAAUCUUGGACAAUGGGCGCGAGCCUGAUCCAGCCAUGCCGCGUGAGUGAUGAAGGCCUUAGGGUCGUAAAGCUCUUUCGCCAGGGAUGAUAAUGACAGUACCUGGUAAAGAAACCCCGGCUAACUCCGUGCCAGCAGCCGCGGUAAUACGGAGGGGGUUAGCGUUGUUCGGAAUUACUGGGCGUAAAGCGCGCGUAGGCGGACCAGAAAGUUGGGGGUGAAAUCCCGGGGCUCAACCCCGGAACGGCCUCCAAAACUCCUGGUCUUGAGUUCGAGAGAGGUGAGUGGAAUUCCGAGUGUAGAGGUGAAAUUCGUAGAUAUUCGGAGGAACACCAGUGGCGAAGGCGACUCACUGGCUCGAUACUGACGCUGAGGUGCGAAAGUGUGGGGAGCAAACAGGAUUAGAUACCCCGGUAGUC
rnacentral:rRNA from 1 species